UGAAAGAGCGUCGAGCGCUCUUCUGUGGGGCGGUUGGCCCGAAGGUGCGAGAGACUUCAUUGUCAGCGGGCAGUCUGAGGGCUGCCCUCUGAGGCAGCUGCUUGAUUGCGUUUGGAAAUUUGCUUGCAGGUUUAGGGUCAGCGUGGGGAUCCUGACAGUGAGACUGCGGUGCUUCUGUGGAGUGAGGUUUCUGUGCAGCUGGUGCUGAGGAGGUCUGUGUCCUGGGUUGCAAGGUGCAGAAGAAGCAGAGGGGGUCCAAGAGGUAUUUCUGAAUGGGAGGAGUGCAGGUUGUGCUGGUAAGUUAGUAGGUUUGUUAGUUUUUUU